rnacentral:rRNA from 1 species
GACGAACGCUGGCGGCGUGCCUAAUACAUGCAAGUAGAACGCUGAAGGAGGAGCUUGCUUCUCUGGAUGAGUUGCGAACGGGUGAGUAACGCGUGGGUAACCUGCCUGGUAGCGGGGGAUAACUAUUGGAAACGAUAGCUAAUACCGCAUAAUAGUAGAUGUUGCAUGACAUUUGCUUAAAAGGUGCAAUUGCAUCACUACCAGAUGGACCUGCGUUGUAUUAGCUAGUUGGUGGGGUAACGGCUCACCAAGGCGACGAUACAUAGCCGACCGGUGAGGGUGAUCGGCCACACUGGGACUGAGACACGGCCCAGUGUCCUACGGGAGGCAGCAGUAGGGAAUCUUCGGCAAUGGACGGAAGUCUGACCGAGCAACGCCGCGGGAGUGAAGAAGGUUGUCGGAUCGUAAAGCUCGGUUGUCAGAGAAGAACGAGUGUGAGAGUGGAAAGUUCACACUGUGACGGUAACUUAUCAGAAAGGGACGGCUAACUACGUG